CAGCAGCCACGGUAAUACGAAGGGGGCUAGCGUUGCUCGGAAUGACUGGGCGUAAAGGGCGCGUAGGCGGGUCUUUAAGUCAGGGGUGAAAUCCCAAGGCUCAACCUAGGAAUUGCAUUUGAUACUGUUUGGCUUGAGUUCGGGAGAGGUGAGUGGAAUUCCCAGUGUAGAGGUGAAAUUCGUAGAUAUUGGGAAGAACACCAGUGGCGAAGGCGGCUCACUGGACCGACACUGACGCUGAGGCGCGAAAGCGUGGGGAGCAAGCAGGAUUAGAUACCCCCGUAGUCCCUGUCUCUUAUAC
rnacentral:rRNA from 1 species